rnacentral:rRNA from 1 species
UACGUAGGGUGCGAGCGUUUAAUCGGAAUUACUGGGCGUAAAGCGUGCGCAGGCGGUUUUGUAAGCCAGAUGUGAAAUCCCCGGGCUUAACCUGGGAAUGGCAUUUGGGACUGCAAGGCUCGAGUGCGGCAGAGGAGACUGGAAUUCCUGGUGUAGCAGUGAAAUGCGUAGAUAUCAGGAGGAACACCGAUGGAGCGAAGGCAGGUCGUCUGGGCUGACACUGACGC